AACGAACGCUGGCGGCAUGCCUAACACAUGCAAGUCGAACGAUCCCUUCGGGGAUAGUGGCGCACGGGUGCGUAACGCGUGGGAACCUGCCCUUAGGUUCGGAAUAACUCAGAGAAAUUUGAGCUAAUACCGGAUAAUGUCUUCGGACCAAAGAUUUAUCGCCUUUGGAUGGGCCCGCGUUGGAUUAGCUGGUUGGUGGGGUAAAGGCCUACCAAGGCGACGAUCCAUAGCUGGUCUGAGAGGAUGAUCAGCCACACUGGGACUGAGACACGGCCCAGACUCCUACGGGAGGCAGCAGUGGGGAAUAUUGGACAAUGGGCGAAAGCCUGAUCCAGCAAUGCCUCGUGAGUGAUGAAGGCCUUAGGGUUGUAAAGCUCUUUUACCCGGGAUGAUAAUGACAGUACCGGGAGAAUAAGCCCCGGCUAACUCCGUG
rnacentral:rRNA from 1 species